UUUUUUUAUAUAAUAAUUGACAGAUUCAAUAUUUUGCCGAUCGAUUAAUCGUUCGAUUUUCGAUAACUUCAUUAUUUCGAUUUUCCCGCCAGCUCGUUCAUUGACCCGGCGCCUCAGCCAAUGGGAUUGCUGUUGCUAACAGAACGAGGUUUGGUGGGGCGCGCCGGAGCGCCAUUCUGUGCCAGGCACUGGAAGGGUAAACAUCAUUUGAAGAGAGAAGCACCGAGGCAAGGGACCAUUAUUUAUCCUUCCAAAUUUUUGAGUUUAUCACCUUGUUGGUACAAGGUCAACAUAUUUUUCAGUGUCGAGUCGUGAGUAUUCUAUCUUCGAUGGCUUGUGGUGUCAGGUACUUUAAAGAUAAGGGCAAAAGUGAAAAAGGGUAUCUUAUCUUCAAGGACACAGAAUUCACACAGACUUUUUAGAACUCGGUCUAUUUUUACGGUUAUUUUUCACAUUUUCUGAAUGGAAAUUUAACUUGAAAGUAGGGAUCUCCGAGGGCUAUUUAGUUUGAAAGAAUCUCCUUGAAGCUGAAAAUUCGUUAUUAAGUGUCAUCAAUAUGCGUUUGAGACCUAACUCGACCGGACCUGUGGCAACCACUUUAACAUUGAUCCUGAACACUAUACGAGGAUAGGUAUAAAGGAUUCUCGAGGAAAUCUUUAGAUGCGGACCAAUCAAGCUGCUACUUGCACACAGUUUAACCCUAAGGUUUGCGCAUGUACAAAACAAAGAUGUCAAGAAAAUAAGCACGAUGUUGGCUUGAACGGUCAGUGAAUUUUCAACCUUAUAGAAAAUUACCAUUAGAGACGGGACAUACAACUAUUUCAAGAUUGUUUAGGUGUGAGAAGGAAGGAAAAAUAAUAAGGUCAAUAUUCGUGUUCAGCGCAUCAAAAUACGUCAGAAAAUCAUAUUCAAAGUCAUAGAUGAAACAUAACCUCAAAAUUCAAGGGAAUAGGUUUUCAGUAUUUAAGGCCUUAGUUCAAACAUAACCUCAAAAUUCAAGGACAUAGGUCAAGGGAUCAUUGGGUUAAAGACUAUGUCCGACAAACAUAACUUCAAAGUCCCCUAAUCAAGAAACGAACAUAACCUCAAAAUUUAGAUAAAAUUUUAAUAAUGUUAAUAUUUGCAUCAUUUGAAAAAUUAUUCCUUAAAGUGGAAAGUCAUGAAUGGAUGAAGAAACUUCUUUUUUUUGGUGAAAAUACGCGGCUUUUAAUAAAGAAAUUUAAUCAAAUGUAAAUGGCAAUUUUUUAACAAUAA